CCCACCAGAUGCGGAUCUUGGAGGGCGUCCGUUGCAACUCAGAAUGCUCCCCACUCGCCAAAGUCUGCUGCGGAGCGAAACCGACCCAUUGAGGUUUCAGGCUGGAUAUCAUCAUAUACUGUAAGUUGGAAUGAGACACUACAGUAUAGAUGAUGUACUACCUUGAACUCCUGGAGCCGCCGAGAUCCCAAAGCACCCUUUCGUUGUCCUCAGCGCUCCCCACCGGAGCUGAGGUUGGGCUGAGCCCAGCUUGGUUGGGGUGGGAGGGUAGAAAUUGAUUAUUUUGAAAGCGCAGAGCCCAGCUUUAUUUUUAAGGCCUUUCCACCAGUGGUCUUCACCCCACCAGAAUGACUGUGAAAUAUGGGACCUUCUCUAUCUCCGCCGCCCUUAACUCUAGGUAUUUCAGAGCAGUGCAGUUCACCUAUGGAACUCCUUCCCACAGGAGGAAGUGAUGGCUACCAGCUUGGAUGGAGACAGUGAGGCUUCUGAAUACCAGUUGUUGGAAACCACAAGAGGGGAAAGGGCUCUUGGGUCCUGCUUGCAGGUUUCCCAUAAUAGGAUCUGUUUGGCCCCAGUGAGAACAGGAUGCUGAGCUAGCUGGGCCAUUGGCCUGAUCCAGCUGAGCUCUUCUGACCUUCUUCUACGUCCCUCCAGAUGUUGCUGGACUCAGCCCCUUCUACCCUGAUCCUUGCAACAUCUGGAGGACCACAGGGUCCCUAUCCCUGACAGUGAUGAGGGGCAAGGCACCCUUCUUUAGUCUCCCAUUGGACCACAGGAAAUAUAUCUAAGAAGUUGACUUAUUGGCAGCUCAGACUGCGUGACUUUUCUAGCCCAGGGUUUUUCACCUGCCUUAGCAGCAGUUCUUCAGAAAUAAGAUUUUCCCUUCAUCCUUUUUGGAAAAAAAGUUAGAAGCAGCUUAGAGUUUGUGUUGCCGGGGUGUGUGGGUGUGCGUGCAACAUUGACUGGACAAGAAGAAGAAAAUGCAAUCCUGCUCAGAAGACAAAUCUUGCGGGGUGUCAGCAAAACCGUUACCAUUACUGAGUUUAGUAAUGGUAAUGGUUCUUCUGCCAUCUUGCCCGGCAUCUGACUCCACAGAAGCAGGAAUUUCGGCUUCAUCUGAUGACAGGGGGCUCCUUUUCACAUCAGCCUAUAUCAGGCCGCUUGCUUCUCGCUCCUGUAAGAAAUAAAAAAAGUUAUGGAA